AGUGAACGCUGGCGGUAGGCCUAACACAUGCAAGUCGUACGGCAGCACAGUAAGAGCUUGCUCUUACGGGUGGCGAGUGGCGGACGGGUGAGGAAUACAUCGGAAUCUACUUUUUCGUGGGGGAUAACGUAGGGAAACUUACGCUAAUACCGCAUACGACCUACGGGUGAAAGCAGGGGAUCUUCGGACCUUGCGCGAUUGAAUGAGCCGAUGUCGGAUUAGCUAGUUGGCGGGGUAAAGGCCCACCAAGGCGACGAUCCGUAGCUGGUCUGAGAGGAUGAUCCCCCCACUGGGAAAGAGAAACGGGCCCGGCCCCCUAGGGGAGGCAGAAGGGGGGAAAUUGGGAAAAGGGGCGCAACCCUGACCCAGCCAUACCGGGGGGGUGAAGAAGGCUUUGGGUUUGUAAACCCCUUUUUUGGGGAAAAAAAAGCAGCAGGUUAAUACCCCGCUGUUCUGACGGUACCCAAAAAAUAAGCACCGGCUAACUUCGU
rnacentral:rRNA from 1 species